GGAACACUAGCGCACUGAAAACACCACAGUACACACAGUAUACUGCAUUCCUCUUGUUCAGCUGGUGAUUAUGGGUAAUAGAUCACCCAUGAUCAAUGUGUACUGAAAAGACUAUGCACUUUAUACAUACAGUGUCCUAAAAACAGAAAAAGUAAGCUAUUACUAAUAAAUUUGUGUAAAUCUCUCCAAUGUUAUUAACAUUAGCAUUGUUUUAACAUGCAUACUGUAUAGAAAAGGUAUUGUGUGUGUGUUGCAGUGAUGACUGGCGUCAGUAUAAGUUGAGAAGGCUGUAUUUCGUUUGGGUCUGCAGGGACCUUCAGUCUUUUUAUUGGUUGCUGAUCUAUUGUGUGGCCUUCAUGAGAGGCUGUGGCGGGACAAUCGUCCAGAUUAUCUUUAUGUUCGACUCUACCUCAGUAACACUCAGGGAUUACAGAGCAUCGGUGAGGAACGCUACCGUUUCUUGAGCUCCAGGCUUCGGAUUGGUCGACCAAAAUGGAAACAACUUUUCCAGGAAAUAGGGAGAGCCAAUCAGCUGAAAAGAGUGGGGGUUUUCUGCUGUGGACCCCAAAGGGA